GAAGCCCCUGCCAGGAGUCACCACCUCCCAGGCCCACUGGACUCGGACCCGAGCGUCCUUUGGGGGCGGUUUCUGGGCGUGGCGGCUGAGCGCGGUUCGGGGAGACGCCGCCGCGAGGUGGCAGCAGCGGCCCUCUGGCAGCCACGGUGCGUCCCGGGGGCGGGGACGCGCCGGCUUCGGGCGGGCGUGGUCCCUGCUGCGGGCGCCUGGGUUGGCCGGGCGGACCCCGGAGAGGGGGAGCCGCGGGGACGCAGCGACAGCGUCGGGGUGCUGGCAGUGGUCGCCCACGCCUCCCAGGGGUUGCAGGCCUGGGCGCCGGGGUUGGACCAGUCUUCCGGGCAUUGCACGCCCUGGUUUGGUCUGUACCCAUGGUUUGUGGCGGGGCAAGACGUUAAGUUGGGUAACACCCAGGUGAGCCGCGGUCCUCGGCACCAGAUGAGGAACCACUGUCUCAAUAAGGUGUCUUUAUUUUGCACACUUUGGGGGUCUUCUAUGAAUCACUGUGCACAGAGAAUGUCCCUUUGUAAGAAGAUGGAAUGGUUUUUGUGACUGGUUACUGUCCCACUGUCCUACCAGUGAUCUGGUCCCCUAUGAUCUGGGAGCUCAUCCUUGUAGCCAUCUCUAAGUGACAUAGUGGCCUCAGUGUGUGAAUACUGAUAUGUAGAUACUGGGAGUGCCUGCAAGAAUUUGCUGUACGUUCCUUGUUAGUUUCAUAUAAACAAAACUAUGGGUCUGUUUAUUUUUUGGAUGCUCAGAAAGACCUUUUAAAAUUUAAUUAAAAUUAUUCUGUAAACUUGAAUUUGUUUGAUGUCUAGUUCUGUAAGUUUUAACACAUAUAUACCUUUGUGGAACCACAUCAACACAAUCAGGAUACAGAGCUAUUUCAUGACUCCCAAAAAAACUCCCUUACGCUCCCACCCCACCUAUAGCCCCUGGAAAUCACUAACCUGUUCUCUAUCACCAUAAUUUUGCCUUUUCAAUAAUAAAAUCUAAAUCUUUGUAUUUCAAAUGUUGGCAUAAAAUCCAAUAGUUAAAGUAGUUCUAGUCUUAUAUUCACACACACACACACACACACACACACACACACACACACACGUUCUUAUCUUCUGGUUUGUUGCAGCAAGGACUAGACAGCACUCGCAUAGUAAGUGGGUUAAGGUGGCCCAUGAAGAUGCCAUCGGAAGGACACCCUUGGAGAAAGCGACCCAUUUUGCCAAUCUCCAUCAACCUUAUUGUAUUUCAGAGCAAAUAACUUCACCUUCUUUCUCUUAGACUUAUUCUUCUUGGGAGCAUGAUAGGAUAACUUCUUAGCACCAUGAAGCCUCAACAGCAAAAGAGGCCUUUUUUUGAAUUUUAUAAUCAGACAUUGGUACAUCCAUCUUCCAGUUGCCAGCAAAAUCAACCCCUGUUGAUUGGAGGAAUCUUAGCUUUCACAUUUUUUUAUUGUAUCUGUGGGUUCAACCUUGAGAAUAAUAGUCUUUCUUGUUAGGGCUUUCAUGAAAGUCCUAACAAGACGCCCAAACUGCAUCUUGGCAGUGUGGGUCUACGGAUCUGAAAGGAAGAUUCAGUUCUGAUGAAAUUUACUCAAAUUUAUCUGAAGCUGAAUUGAAGCUAGGUUAUUGCAGGAAAAGAGAAUAAGAGGUCUAGUAUCACAAGUUCUUACUUAAAGACUCGGAGGAAACAAUCAUCCCUGUAAUGAGACCACCCUGACUUAGUCACCUGGACUAUGAGAGGAAUCAGCUGAAGCUGUUCUGAAGGAAGCAGAGAUUCUAAGAGAACCUCCUUCUCACCCAGUGCCCACAGAUUCUGCAGCCUGGCCAGUGCUCACAGGGGCAAGCUGGAGAAAAAUGGAACAGAGGACACGUCCCCCAAAAUGAGAC
ensembl:lncRNA